AUGGCUAGGUUUUGGUGGGGUGAUGAUGCAUCACACAAGAGAAUGCACUGAUUUGCUUGGUGGAAGAUGUGCAUACCGAAAAAUAAAGGUGGAAUGGGCUUUAGGGAUAUAUAGUGCUUUAAUCUUGCACUUUUGGCAAAACAAGCAUGGAGACUUAUUGAGAACCCGGACUCCCUGCGUGCAAAAAUCCUCAGAGCAAAGUACUACCCUAAUGAUGAUCUGCUGAAUGUUAAUUUAAAGAAGAAAUCUUCAUAUACCUGGCAAAGCAUAAUGGCAGAAGUGGAGACUCUAAAGUGUGGUCAUAUAUGGAGGGUCGGCGAUGGACAGAAAAUUAAGAUAUGGGAGGACAGUUGGAUCCCU
rnacentral:rRNA from 1 species